UACGUAGGGGGCAAGCGUUGUCCGGAUUUAUUGGGCGUAAAGAGCGUGUAGGCGGCUAGGUAGGUCCGUUGUGAAAACUCGAGGCUCAACCUCGAGACGUCGAUGGAAACCCUCAGGCUAGAGUCCGGAAGAGGAGAGUGGAAUUCCUGGUGUAGCGGUGAAAUGCGCAGAUAUCAGGAAGAACACCUAUGGCGAAGGCAGCUCUCUGGGACGGUACUGACGCUGAGACGCGAAAGCGUGGGGAGCGAACAGG
rnacentral:rRNA from 1 species